rnacentral:rRNA from 1 species
AGCGCACUUCGGGGCGAGCGGGGACGGGUUAGUAACGCGUGGGAACAUACCCUUUUCUACGGAAUAGCCUCGGGAAACUGAGAGUAAUACCGUAUACGCCCUUCGGGGGAAAGAUUUAUCGGAGAAGGAUUGGCCCGCGUUAGAUUAGAUAGUUGGUGGGGUAAUGGCCUACCAAGUCUACGAUCUAUAGCUGGUUUUAGAGGAUGAUCAGCAACACUGGGACUGAGACACGGCCCAUACUCCUACGGGAGGCAGCAGUGGGGAAUCUUAGACAAUGGGCGCAAGCCUGAUCUAGCCAUGCCGCGUGUGUGAUGAAGGCCUUAGGGUCGUAAAGCACUUUCGCCAGGGAUGAUAAUGACAGUACCUGGUAAAGAAACCCCGGCUAACUCCGUGCCAGCAGCCGCGGUAAUACGGAGGGGGUUAGCGUUGUUCGGAAUUACUGGGAGUAAAGCGUACGUAGGCGGAUCACAAAGUAGGGGGUGAAAUCCCAGGGCUCAACCCUGGAACUGCCUCCUAAACUCCUGGUCUUGAGUUCGAGAGAGGUGAGUGGAAUUCCAAGGGUACAGGUGAAAUUCGUAGACAUUUGGAGGAACACCAGUGGCGAAGGCGGCUCACUGGAUCGAUACUGACGCUGAGGGACGAAACUGUGGGGAGCAAACAGGAUUACAUACCCUGGUAGUCCACACCGCAAACGAUGAAUGCCAAUCGUCGGGCAGUAUACUGUUCGGUGACACACCUAACGGAUUAAGCAUUCCCCCUGGGGAGUACGGUCGCAAGAUUAAAACUCAAAGGAAUUGACGGGGGACCGCACAACCCCCGGAGAAUGUGGUUUAAUUGGAAGCAACGCGCAGAACCUUACCAACCCUUGACAUCCUGUGCUAACCCGAGAGAUCGGGCGUUCACUUCGGUGACGCAGUGACAGGUGCUGCAUGGCUGUCGUCAGCUCGUGUCGUGAGAUGUUCGGUUAAGUCCGGCAACGAGCGCAACCCACAUCUUUAGUUGCCAUCAGUUCGGCUGGGCACUCUAAAGAAACUGCCCGUGAUAAGCGGGAGGAAGGUGUGGAUGACGUCAAGUCCUCAUGGCCCUUACGGGUUGGGCUACACACGUGCUACAAUGGCAGUGACAAUGGGUUAAUCCCAAAAAGCUGUCUCAGUUCGGAUUGGGGUCUGCAACUCGACCCCAUGAAGUCGGAAUCGCUAGUAAUCGCGUACAGCAUGACGCGGGA